rnacentral:rRNA from 1 species
GACGAACGCUGGCGGCGUGCUUAACACAUGCCAGUCGAACGGAAAGGCCCUGCUUUUGUGGGGUGCUCGAGUGGCGAACGGGUGAGUAACACGUGAGUAACCUGCCCUUGACUUUGGGAUAACUUCAGGAAACUGGGGCUAAUACCGGAUAGGAGCUCCUGCUGCAUGGUGGGGGUUGGAAAGUUUCGGCGGUUGGGGAUGGACGCGCGGCUUAUCAGCUUGUUGGUGGGGUAGUGGCUUACCAAGGCUUUGACGGGUAGCCGGCUUGGGAGGGUGACCGGCCACAUUGGGACUGAGGUACGGCCCAGGCGCCUACGGGAGGCAGCAGGGGGGAAUAUUGCACAAUGGGCGGAAGCCUGAUGUAGCAACGCCGCGUGCGGGAUGACGGCCUUCGGGUUGUAAACCGCUUUCGCCUGUGACGAAGCGUGAGUGACGGUAAUGGGUAAAGAAGCACCGGCUAACUACGUG